UACGUAGGGUGCAAGCGUUAAUCGGAAUUACUGGGCGUAAAGCGUGCGCAGGCGGUGAUGUAAGACAGGUGUGAAAUCCCCGGGCUUAACCUGGGAACUGCAUUUGUGACUGCAUCGCUGGAGUACGGCAGAGGGGGAUGGAAUUCCGCGUGUAGCAGUGAAAUGCGUAGAUAUGCGGAGGAACACCGAUGGCGAAGGCAAUCCCCUGGGCCUGCACUGACGCUCAUGCACGAAAGCGUGGGGAGCAAACAGG
rnacentral:rRNA from 1 species